UUUUUUUUCCAAAACUAACAGUCAUGUUUGGAAAAAUAAUUAAUGAAGGUAAGUUAGUAAAGUUGUCAUUACGUAAUUUAUAAUUUUUGAAAAUACUUACAAGUGUUUUUAACACUUAAAGUAAAUAAAUAUUAAAAUAUUGUGUUAAAAAAUUAUAUUUUUAAUUUUUAUUUUAACAUAAAAAAUUAGGUUAAUUGCUAUUUUAUCUCUGUGGGUGAAUUUUGAAAAAAAAGAUUAAUUUUUUUUAAAAUUUUCUCUAUGAUUUAUAAAGAUUCAUCAGUUUUACUCCUUAUUAAACAUAAUUAUUAAAAUAAAUGAUUAAAAUGAUAUGACAAAAUUUCAUUUUAUUUUUUAUUAAUGAUGUGGGUUGAAAAGUUGGUUUUUUUAACUUGAAAAUUUUAAAAGGUAAAAAGACUAAAAUUUUACAACCAAGAGAUAUAAACUAGAAUCACUCCCUUAAUGGCAACUAAAACCCGAUCAAGUUACUAGGGAGAAGAAGGAUUGUGUUAUGUUCAAAGUGGAUUUCGAAAAGGUCUACGAUUGCGUGAGUUGGGAUUUUUUGAGAUCUAUGACGAAGAGAAUGGGGUUUGGUAGUAUUUGGAUGAGUUGGAUGGAAGUUUACAUUAGUCAUUGUUGAUUUUGGUAAACGGGAGUCCGACGAAGGAUUUUAAGGUGGAGAGAGGCUUAAGGCAGGGAGAUCCUUUAUCUUCCUUCCUUUUUGUGAUAGUUGCUGAAUGGAUAUCAGAGUUAUUGAGAAUUGUUUCAGAUAGAGGUGAUUACAAAGGUUAUAGUGUGCAUGAUGGUUUAUCAAUAGAUUUAGUCCAAUUCCCGGACGAUACUCUUAUUGUGGGUGCUGAUUGUUGAAAGAAUUUAUGGAGUAUCAAAGCCAUCUUAAGGGAUUUUGAACUAGUUUCAGGAUUGAGAGUUAAUUAUCACAAGAGUAGGUUGAUUGGGAUCAAUGUCAGUAAUCAUUUUAUUCUUGUUACUUCUAAUUUUUUAGCUUGUAAGGUGAAGGAAUCAACUUUUAACUUCCUUGGGAUACCUAUUGGUUCAAAUCCGAGGAGGAUAAAAAUGUGGGCUUCCGUUAUCGAAAAGUUUAAAUCAAAGUUAACUUUGUGGAAAGGGAUAUUCCUUUCCUUUGAAUGGAGGAUUACUCUUAUCAAUUCGAUUAUGAGUAGCCUGGCCAUUUUCAUUUUCUCUUUUUAUAAAGCUCCAGUGAAAGUUUGAAAAAAAAUCGAUAAAAUCCGGCAGAGAUUUCUUUGGAGAGGAACAAAGGAGGAAUCAAAGAUUCAUUGGGUUAAAUUGGAUCUAGUGUGCAAAGCUAAAGAAUUUGGAGGUCUUGGUAUCAAGAGCAUUAAGGAGUUCAACUUACCUUUUUUGUCUAAAUGGAAGUGGAGGAUUUUAGUUGAGAAGGAUGUCAUGUGAAAGAAGAUUAUUAAGGCAAAAUAUGGUAAUUGCAAGCACCAAAUUCUAACGAAUAUUUGUUGCAACUACAAAAUUUCCUUAUCUACUUUGUAGAAGGAUAUGAAAAAUCUAGGAGCUUUAUCUACUAAUUUGGGUUUUGACUUUGUAGGUUCAGUUUUUUACAAAAUUGGCGACAAAUUUCAAACCCCUUUCCGGUCUGUCAAUUGGUGUGGUGAUACUCCAAUGGCAUAAUUAUUUCUGGAUCUGUUUGUGCCCAAUAAUGAUAAAUUGGCUUUUGUGAUUGAAAUGGGAAGAUGGUCUAAUGUUGUUUGGUGUUGGGGGAUUAUGGGAUUCAGCAGUAGGACAGUGGCACGACAGAGAGCAGAGUGAAUCAACUCAUGAUUAUUUAGUUGUUGUUCUUGUUACCGACGUUGUGGAUAUAUUGGUUUGGGGAAAGGUUGAUCCCUACCACUUUUCUGCUAGUCUCAAAUAUAAAGGAUUUAUGGAGGCUAAGGAACCAGUUAACAUGGAGGAGGAUCAGAGUAAGGCAUUUCGUACCCUUUGGAAUUCGACGGUUCCGACAAAUAUUAAAGCUUUUGUUGGAAGAUUUUCUUGAACCGUUUGGCCACUAAAGAUCAAUUGAAUAAACGAGGUUUAUGCCUUAUGAAUCAUGAUGCUCUUUGUGUUUUGUGUCUCUAAUCGGAGGAAUAUUUUAACCAUCUUUUCUUUGAAUGUUCGGUAUCGAAAAAAGUGUGAGAGCUUGUAGGAUUAUGGAUCGGUUACUCUUUGAGUUAUGUUGGUCCUUCUUGGAAGCAAUUCUUUUCGAGGAGUAGGUUCUAUAAAACUAUUUCUAAUAAGGGUAAAUUUGAAAGCAUAUGGUCGGCGGUUGUUUGGGGAUUGUGGAAUUCUAAAAACAAUAUAUUAUUUAACAAAGUAAGAUGCAAUUUGAAUGAUAUUAUUUGGUAUAUUAAAUUUUUAGUUUGGAGAUGGUCGAUAGUGGGAAAUAUUUUGUAUUCCAAUGUUAAUUUUCAAGAUAUUUGCAUGACUCUUCUAUAUUGUUUGUCUUAGUUGUUGUUGGUGAGGAUUUUCUCCUUAGUUUGUAAUGGAUUAGAGUACCCCUAAAAAUCCUCUAUUUCAAUUAACAUAGAAGAAAAAAACUCCCUCAAUGACACAUUAAGUUACAACUAGACUAGAUAAUUUGCAUUAUCGCUCACAAAAUAUAUUUAUUAUAUAUUUUGUUUAUCAUAUUAGAAUAAAUAUAUUUUAAAUAUUUUAAUUAUACUUUUAUUACAAUCAUUUAUAUUUUUUAUUUGAAUAAUAUUAAUUAAUUAAACAAUAUUUAUUUAAAAAAUAUAUAUUACAUAAGUAUUGUUUUAAAAUUAAUUACUUGAAUAAUAAUUUAUAAAAAAAAUGUAUAUUUAAAAGCCCUAAAUAUUAUAGAAAAUUAAAUAUUACUAAAAAGAAUAAAAAAAAUUUAAAAUCUCAAAGAUAUAAUAUACCUAUGUUAUGAGAAAUCUUAAACAUCUAUUCUACUAAUUGUGUUAAAUAUAAAAUAAUUUAAUUCUUCUAACUAUAAAGUAAAAUACAAACAACUAAUUUUAAUUGGUGACAAAUAAUUUAUCGACAUUUAUAAAUAAAAAAUUUAUGGGAAAUGGUCAAUUGUCAUUGUUGUUGUGGAAUAGAGAAAAUAUUAAUUCUUUAAUAUAGAUUCCAUGGUGACCGACCGCUGGUUUUCUUUAUAUUAACAUCAAAUGAACAAAGUAAACGCAAAACCCAUCUCAAUAAAAUAAUAUUUGAAUUAUCUCUCACUCUCUCUACCUCUUAUAUAAGCUCUUAUUUUUUAUUGAAAAAUAAAAGAACAUUACCCUCUUCAUUUAGGCUCUUUUGAGAUUGUGAAAUCAUUGUUAAUGGAAAAUUCAGAUACUAUUAGUUUGAUUCAUGGGAAUGAAGACAAACUUCUUAUACAAUUGGAAGUCAUUAUUGAGGAGAUGAAAAGUGCCAAACCAUGGAAGAAGAUUAGUGAUGAUGGAUCUAUAUUGCACUUGUGUGUUAGGCAUAAUCAUUUUGAGGCUUUGAAAUUCAUAGUGCAAUCAGUGAGUGGAGUCAAAGACCUAUUGCAUGUUCAAGACAAAGAGGGUAACACCAUUCUUCAUUGGGCAGUUAACCUCAAGCAAAUUCAGGUAUUCAAAUUGAAAAUUUAGUUUUGUUUAAUAAUUUUUGAUAUUUUAGUCACUUUGUAAAGAGAUUGAUGAACCAUUUUUUUAGACCUUUUCUUUUUAUAUUAACAUUAUUUAUUUAUUUACAUAUGAAUGAAUAUGAUUAUUAAUAAAUUGAGACCAAUUCUACCUAAACUAAAUAUUGGUAUAAAUAUGUAAGAUGAAGACUUUUGAGGAGUCCUACCCACUUUUCUAAUUUAAUAGAAUGGAAAAAUUGUGAGGGAAGAAGAGAGUCUAUUUACGGCUGUCAACAUUUUUUGAAAAUGAAUUUUAUAGUAUUAAUUAUAUAUUUCUGUUUCAAUUAAAAUUUAUAAAUAUUUUUAAAUUUAUUUUUUUAAUAAAUAUUGGUUCAAACAAUUUUUUAUAAAAUAUUAUUUUGAUAUUUGAUCAUUUUAUAAUGAUUUUUUUAUAUCAAAAUUUCAGAAAUCACUUAAAUUUAAAUUUAUUUUAAAGGACUUUUUAUAAAGAUACAUCCAAUUGGAGAAAUGCUAAACAUAUAUAAAGGUUUUAAAGAUACAACAAAGGAAUUCAAUUAAGCACACUAAGUAUUAGAAUUACUUAGAAUUAGAAUGAAUAUCCAAAGAACAAAGAUAGAACAUAACAAAAAUAAGAAAGGCAACGAAAGUCAAAAUUCAAUUAAACAAACCAAAAGUAGAAAACCGAAGCAAGAUAUCUCAAGAGGGGAAGCCAAUAUCUACAUAAAAGUAUCAUAUAGGUUCACCACUAAGAGCUCUCCUCUACAAGGUGAAAGAGGUUUACCUUUAUAUUGGCUCAAACAAAUAAUAAGGUUCUUAAACCAGACAAAAAAAAGUACAAGAGUUUCUCGUAGACAUACUAACAUAUAAUUUCAUGCUAAGAAGAUGAUAUCUUCCACAUCCUUCACGCUGACACAGAAAUCUAAAAACACGAUAUCAUUUUAGAAUUCUCAUAGCGAUCAAGUCAGACUAUAGACAAACCACACUCACCUUAAACCUACUUCCCAACGAUCUAAAGACCAUAACAAUCACGGUUAGAUCCAUAGGAGGAAUGAAGUACUUCCCAAACCAUCUAAAAAUAAUAUACUAAACAGACGCUGCCAAAUGACAGGCAAACAAAUGGAUAUCCGACUAUGUCAUCCCUCUACACAGUGGGCGAGAAACACUCUUAGGAUCCACUAGAACCCUACGUUUAAAAAGGUUAUCUUUAGUAGGGAGCUUCUCUUGAAAAAGUUUCCAGGAGAAAACAACCACUUUAGUGAGAACCUAACUAUCCUAGAUAAAAGAAAGAACCAAAUUCACAGGAUUGACCAGAAGAACACUAGGCAAGUCACACUCAAGGAAACCUAAGUAAGGCGAGACAAUAGAUAACACAUCAUUCUUUUAAUGCGAUCACCACCACCAAUUUAGAUUCGGGGAAAGAGUUACACCCUGAAUAACUAUCAACAUAUUAGAGAUCAUUUCUUUGUGGUAAAUGAAAGGGAUCUCUUCCAUUUCAAGUCCCAAAUCAAAUUUGCAUUCUUAUACACUCAUAUCUAACCAACAUACCAAUCUUUCUUAUCAAAGAUAAUAAAGAAUCUACAGACCCAACCCCUUAUCCUUUCAAAAGAAGGUGGGGAGGUCUGAUCCCACUUUCUUACUAAGAUUUACCCUAAACCAAUAGGAAGAAUCAGAGACACACAUUUUUCCCACGAAGAAGCGGAACAUAAGCCAACAAACAUAUCACCUAAAGGUAAGGAAAAAAUAUGGGCACCAUAUUUGGUGAAUAGGUUAUCGCACCAGAGACUAGAAACGUCCGAGAUAAGCUAUUCAUCUCCACUUAACAAAAAUGUCCAGGUUAACUAAACACAAAUCUCAUACUCCCAAACCAUUCCCAUGACUUUAGAUAGACUUGAGACGAGGGUUGACCCACACCGGUAAUCUUAGGUACUUGAAGGGAAUGGUCUCUUAGAAAUAAUGCACAUAAUAUUAAUUAGAUAGCAUAAUUGAGAAAUACUAGUGAUUACUUAGAUACAUGUUGAUAUUGCACUUUUAGUAAAAGAUUAAUUCAUAUAACAUUUGUUUCGGUUUCUAAUUGUCAUUUGUUUUUCCUUAACUCUUCACAGACCAUAAAGUUCUUGCUUUCACUUCCUGAAAUGAGAGAAGCAGCAAUGACUUUGAAUAAUAGAGGUCUCACACCUUUGGAUAUAAUGAACAGUUCUUCAACAGAUAUCAUUGACAUUGCAAUCCAAUACAUUUUAAUGGAAUCGGGAGUCCAAAAAACUUGCACAAAUGCACAUUCUAGUAAUUCUCAUGAAUCAAAUCAAUCACAACAACCCAAUAGUAAAACAAAAAAUUUGAAGAAUUUCUGGUCAAAGUAUCUACAACACCAAGGUAAUUGGAUAGAAGAAACACGUGGCACAUUGAUGAUUGUAGCAACUGUAAUUGCAACCAUGACAUUUCAAUCAGCAUUAAAUCCCCCAGGUGGAGUAUGGCAAGAGAAUACACAUGGUGGUGCAUACACAUGCACAACUUAUGGUAUUUGCAGAGCUGGAACUGCAAUUAUUGGUUAUGAUUCGGCAAAAGAUUAUGUUAUAUUUAUGUCUUUUAAUACUAUCUCUUUUUUUGCUUCUCUUUGUGUUGUGUUGAUUCUCAUUUGUGGUUUUCCACUUCAGAAUAAGGUCAUAAUGUGGAUGUUAACUAUUGCAAUGAUUGUUGCAGUUACAUUUAUGUUGCUAACGUAUAUGUGGGCCAUUGGGUUCGUGACACCUGAUCAUAUUUAUUAUAAUGCUUAUAGAUUAGGGUUUUUUUUAGGUGGUGCUUGGGGUGUUAUACUUCUUGUUCUUGCUUUGAUUCAAAUUGUAAGGUUUGUUUUCUGGAUAAAGGAGAGGAAGAAACAGAAGAUGCACAUGUAAGAAAAACUUCACAAUGUAACCAUAACAAAUAACUAUAUACUAGAAAUGGAUGUGUUGUAUCUCUUCUAUCAUAGAAUGAGUUAUUGUAUUUCAUUUACUAAGUUUAUUUUGUAUUUCUCUUAAAAUUUAGGUCGAUGUAAAUUAGUUACCUUCGAUUAUAAGUAUAUGUCAAUAUCAUUUUUCAUUUAGUUUGAAACUUUAAACAUGCGUAAUCACACUAAAGACUGGAGAUCUAGAUUAUAACAAGAGUGACUGUUAUUGGAAAUCUAAUGGCAGGUGGUGAUUCAAUUAAUUUUAGAUAGAAUUUAAUAUCAUUUAAAAUUUUGGAUUAAAUUAUUUUAAUCUUAUAAAAUCAAAUUGUAAGAUGAGAUUUAUCUUCCCUUAUAACUAUAUAUGUUAAGACCGACUCUCAAACAUUUUAGGACUAACACACCCUCUAUGAUUGUGCAUUUGGAACCUGAUAAAGAAAGUGUGUGUGUGAAAAUUGAUAACAUAUAUGUUCUAAUAGAUUUUAAAUUGAUUCUCGGAUAUUAUCUUAAAAAAUUUAAUUGUCCUUAAUUCAAAUUUAUAAAAAAUUCUGCUAAUAAGGUUAUUAAUAUGUGAUUCUUAACAAUUUGUUUAAAAGAAUUCCAAAAAAUAUAACACAUACAAUUUCUUUUUAAAAACUAGUUGGUUGACUCAUGCGAUGCACAAUUUACUAAGUUAAAUACAAAUAUUACUAAUAUAUCAUUGUAAAAAAAAUAUAUCAUUGUAAUAAUAUUGUAACUUCUUUAGUAAGUUUAUUUAAAAUUAUGUAAAAUCUGGAAAAUGUCCAUAGACAACAUAAAUAUAAGGCUAUGAAAAAUCUUUAAAUAAAAAGUAAAUUAAUAUAAAAUAUAUUUUAUGAUUGAAAAUAAGUUAAAGGUUAAUAGAUUCUGUUGAUCCAUAUAAAUUCGUGUGUUUUUUAUUUUGAUUCCUGUAAUUUAAUUAUUUUGGUUAAGUUUUUAUAUCUCAUAUUUUGUGUUGGUUUUAGUUCCUAAAAUCAAAAUCCACAGGAAAAUUCGGAGAUUUCCUGUAGAUUUUAUCUUUAUAGACUAAAACCAACAUAAAAAUUAGAUAUAAGGAUUUAGACACAAAAAAAUACAAAAACAAAAAAAAACUCGCUAAUUUACAUAGAUCAAAAAACUAUUUAAAUCUAAAUUAAAUUAAAUUACAUUUAACAUAUCAAUAAAAAUAGUUACCUGUAAAAAGAGUACAUUGAAAUAUAAAUUAUAUUUAUGGAAUGUAAAGUUUUUCUAAUAACAAAUAUAUAUAUUGAUAAAAUAAAGAUAGAGUCACGUAUACAAGGCACGAGAAGAAAGACGUAAAAAUAAUGAGUUAAACAAUUGGCAUAUUUUGCCGAAUAAUCCAACCAAAGAAAAAGAAAAUAAAAAUUAAAAACAAGGGUCACCAACAACACACUAAGGAAAUAAAAAAUCUGACGACUUUGACAAUGCUAGCGGAAACUAAGUUAGAGACCAGGAAGAAGAAUCACCAUCAACAAAACAACUUCCAAAAACACUUUAACACUACAAUCCCAAGAGAACAUGGUGAUACUUUCAUAAUCACUUUUAUUUUAAGUAGAGUAUAGGAUUAGCAAAUCAAUUAGAAAAACUAUAAGAAUAAGUCGAUGAUCUAUCAAGAUAUCAUUUUUAGACUAGAUAAAUACUUAAAUCUUUCAUGUCCUCCUUUUUAAGCAAUUUACAUAUAAAAAUGAAAUCAUUAUGGAAUUUAUAGAUAGUACAUGUCACUUUGUGCCAAAUCAUGGUAAACUCCCCUCUGAUCCUAGCCUACCCCCUAAGAAAAAUAUUCAAAUAGAAAAAUAAUAUCUUUCAACAAGAAAAAUAACCUCCCAAACCACCAAAUUAUCUUAGAUCACAUGUUUUCCCCCCGCACUACAAAUAACAAAUAAAUGAGACACAUACUUUAUUGGCCAAAUACAUAGUCCACACAAAAUACAAUAAGGAUCUAGAAUAACUCUUCUUUUAAAUAGAUUCUCUGUCCAAUAACACACUAUAAGAAAAAGACUUUUCACCUCGGUUGGGAAAUGGACUUAACCUCGGUUUGGUGUCUGAGGUAUCGUAUGAUGUAAUGGAAAGUGCGUAAAUUUUCACCUCGGACUACUAACUGAGGCAAAAAAUUGGAAGUGUGUCACUAUUCCAAUUGUGCUUCUUCGAUUUAAUUUGGAUCAUUGUUUCAAAUUAAUCAAUGAUUCAUGUUAUCUAUCCCCACUUAUUCCCAUGCAAUCAAAAAAUAGAAUUUAAAUAUAUUAAUUAAUCAAGAAAGUCAGAAAAAUAAAUAUAUCUUGAUCCCCUCGCAACAAUGAACGCAGACCGGCUAACAAUGUUCUCCACUCACUUUUUUUGUUUUCACAAAAAUCAACUAUCUUCAAUAAGGAGAGGACACGCGCCCCACUCAGAAAAACAUCCCCAAUAAUAACUCUCUCUUUUCAUUUUACAGCGAAAAAACCACAACCCUUUGCUCAGACCACCAUGUAAAAGCACCUCAAUCAUGCCUUCUCCUUCAACCCAAAUCACCAUCACCACAGUUAAUUUACUUUGGUUUGGUGCUCACACCACUUCUUUAUUGUGAUUUUUAGUUUUUGUUCCCUGUUGGCUUAUUAGAACUGAGAGGAAUGAAGAAAAUGUAUGUGUAUUUUUCUUCAAAUGUCAAAACGUGGUUUGAAAACUAAGAGGGAGAAAGACAUUGUGGUUCAUUGUGUUUUCUCCCCUCUAUAUGCAUGACACGUGUCAGGUUGGGGUUGGAGGAUUUUUUUGAAUUUUAAAAACUUUCUUUUUCUUUUUUCCAAUAUUCAGCGCCUCUCAUUUUUUGUAUUUACUAAGUCUUUUCUGUUAUUUAUUUUUGUUUAUUAUUAUGGGUAUUAAGGUUAACUUAUUUUUAUGCCCAUUGGGUCUAAUUGUUCAUACCUCAUAUUCAUUCUUGGUAUCCUUAUUAGUUUUUUUUGCUUUUUUUAUUAAUAUGAUUAAAUUUUAGUUAAUAAAUUGUUUAAUUAAAUUAACUAACUAUUUUAUUUCUUGUCAUUUGUGUUGUGAUUUCUGGAGCUUAAAUUCAAUUUACCUUUUGAAAAUCACUUAAACGCAUAGAUUUUAUUAACCGACCUCAGAUAGAGUGAUUCCUACAUAAAUCACUUUACGAUUGCUUAACAUAGCGCUAAAUUCAGUUUGCUUUCGAUUUCGGUUGGUUUCCGGUCUCGUAGUUUUCUCUUUGGCCUUCUUACAAAGAGAUCUUUUUAUUUUAUACACUUUACGAUUGCUUAACAUAGCGCUAAAUUCAGUUUGCUUUCGAUUUCGGUUGGUUUCCGGUCUCGUAGUUUUCUCUUUGGCCUUCUUACAAUGAGAUCUUUUUAUUUUAUACUGGCUUACUCUUGGGCCUUCUUACAAUGCGAUUUUAAUUUUACAUAUACUUUUUCAAUGGUCUUGUGUCUUAAUUGCCCCUUUUUGAUUGCUUUGUUAUCUUAGUUAACUUUUAACUUAAGAUUAAUAUUAACCAUCUUUCAAAAAGAACAAAAAUAAACACUCGAUCCAACGUCGAAUAAUUUUUCCAAAUUAAAACCAUUUCCAUUAUCUCAAUUUCUUAAUCAUUUUCGAUAUGCGGAAAUCUUAGCCUAACGCCAAGUGGAUUCUUUUUCUCAAAUCAUUAUGUUUCUAUUCAAAUUCAAACCUCUUCCUCAAUUAACCACAAUUACAAUUUAAGCCAAUUUCAUUAUCGACUUCAAACCAUUUCAAAAUCUCAUUUAAAUUCAAACCUUUCAAACUCUUUUUACAACAACUUGGAAGAAAAAGGAUGGAUUGGGUAUCGACCUUUCUCCUUCCCCGGGUGUUUGGACAUUGUUGUAGAGCUCCAUGUAUGAAUGCUCGUCUUUCGUAUUAAAAUACAAUAAUCAAAUUGAAUUAUAUUGGUUCUCUUAUAAAAGGAAAAUGAUUGAUUGGGUUUAAACCUUCCUCGGUCUCUGAUUAUUUGGACACUCCUGUAGAGCUCCAUGUGCGGCUAAUUAUCUUUCGUUGACGAACCGUGACUGAAAUUAACCACACAUCCUUCGUAAUAAUUAAGAAGAAAAAAGAUUGAUUGGGUUUAGACUUUCCUCAGUCUCCGAUUAUUUGGACACUCUUGUAGAGCUCCCUGUUCAAAUACUCGUAUUCCAACUCUAAGACCUCAAAACAAAUCAAAGCUAACUUUUCGCCCUCAUGCGAUCAACAACUCCUUUUUGCAAACGAACAUUCUUUAAUCUUUUCUAAUGCAUAUACAAACUAGCGCUUAAGUCUCCCCCGUGAGUAUGCAAGACCAUGUUUAACCAUUAGAAUGUGAUCUAAGCACUUGUUCAUUAAAAUAAACCAAUCAACCUAUCUUUUCUCUCGCCCCCGUGCAAUUGAAAACUCUUUUCAAAUGGAAAUUGUUUAGUCCUUUCUAACGCGUUUACAAACAAGCGUUUAAGCCUCCAAUGUGCGAGCAUACAGCUAAAUGUUUAAACUGCUAGAACGCGAUCAAACAUAAUCCCUUCUACUGCAAAAUAGGAAAACACAGUCUCCCAUCCGCGAGCAAAUAAGCCAAUGUUUAACCCUUAGAAACGUGAACUGAACACGUGUUCAUUAAAAAACACAAAAAAACAAACUAUAUCCUUCCCUUUAACUAUGAAACUUUGUGUUCCUCGUUGUACCCUAAGAUACUUAGGAGCGAGACCCGCAAUCUCGUCAAGCACCCUAAUAAAAACAUUUGUACGAACCUUUUUCUUUUCUUUUUACACUUUCAAUAAUUCAAAGAAAAUAAUUCACGUAAGCUAACAUUCAAUCUCAAGUUUAAAUAAAAGGUUCUCAUUGAGUACAACGAGCGUGAGGGGUGUUAAUACCUUCCCCUUGUGCAAUCGACUCCCGGACCCGAAUAUGGUUGCAAUGACCAUCUCCUUUCAAAGGUAUUAUCGAUAUUUUCCCUUUCCCUCAUUGGAAUAAAUAAAGUUUGGUGGAGACUCUGUUCGAAUCAUUUUUCUGGGACUUUGUGAAUGAUCGUAUUUUUCAAGAUGCAACACUGCAGAAUAACAUCAAUAGAAGGUCGAUGGAAAAGAUUCUUUGGGGAACUGCCAGACGGUGUUGAACUUUAAAAGACAGAAUUCUAGACGGCGUAAGACUUUAAAAUACAUAAUUCUUGGUGAGAUUGGACUUUAAAAUGAAAUGCUAGAUGUGACUGGAUUUGACUGUAGCCAUCAGUAAAAUAUAUAUCGGAUUCAAACAGAGUUUACCAGGAGGCACUGGACUUUACCCUAGGCAUUAGUAAAAACAUAUAUCGUCUUCAAACGGAGUUUUCCAGACGAGGCUGGACUUGACCGUAGGCAUCAUUAAAAUAUAUAUCAGCUUCAAACAUAGUUUUCCAGGAGAGGCUAGACUUGACCGUAGGAAUCAGUAAAAUAUAUAUCGGAUUCAAAUGGAGUUUGCCAGACAAGGCUGGACUUUUAAAGGCUGCAAAAACUAAAAUAUGGUUUAAGGGCGCGAAAUCGAAAUUGGACUUUAAGGUCAAGGGAUAUAGGAUCAACCAAAGAGAUCAGGGUCAAUGCAAAAUGAGCACCAAAUACACUUUGGUUAUGCAUGAUUUCAAUUUGCUUAUAUGCAUGGUAUAUGAAUGAUCAUGAUAUGCAAAAGUUGACUCUAUGUAGACUGGUAGUUUAUGGAAGUUUUGAUUCCUCAACACCAAGGACUCAACCAUGUAUUUUCUGUGAUAGAUGCUUUCAAAGGAGAAUUCUAUCAAGCUUGACAGUUAUAACUAUCAAAGGUCCUUUUGGAGGAUUGACAAGUCGUGCUAGCAUGAUUUUCUGACACUCAUUCCUAACUCAACAGUUCCUUAUGCAUUGUAGGACUUUUACUUUAGCUGCUUGAAAGUCUAAAGAGGGUUUGCCCAUUUGUGGCUCAUAUUGCCCCAGUCUGGUAAGUCUUUGAAGAAAAUUUACCUCGAAAGGAGUUUGGAAGCAUCUUGUCGUGAAAUGACCUCGAGAUGGCUUUCCCUAGUGUUUUAAACUUACGGUGGUCUUCCCCCUGAUUAACCAAUUCUUGAAUGGUAGACAUCAAAUUGACCGACCUUUGGAGGUUUUGAACCUCUUGAAUAUGAAUUUCUUGUAUUAUUAUGUAGAGAAGAAUACACAUAUAUAUAGGUCUAAGCCUCCUAAUUAAACCUACUAAUUAAGGAAAGAUUUAAUACAAUAAUAUCCUAAAUAAUAUCCUAAUUGAUACUACUAAUAAAAACAAUAGAUACGAAAUAGUAAUAAAACAAUAUUUCAACACUCCCCCUCAAGGUGGUGCAUAUACAUCAUUAUCAUCCAUCUUGUCACAUAUGUAUGUGAUAUGAGGUCUUCAAAGAGAUUUUGUAAAGAGGUAAGCAAGUUGAUCUUUGGAAUUAACAAAGAAGGUUUUGAUGGUUCCAGUGGUAAUCCUCUCUCUAAGAAAGUGACAGUCGACUUCUAUAUGCUUUGUCCUUUCACGAAAAACUGGAUUGGAGGAAAGGUGCAAAGUUGAUUGGUUGUCACAUACAAGUUCCAUAGGGCCGACUUCACAAAAGUAAAGUUCCUAUAGUAAAUGCUUUAACCACAAGAUCUCACAUGUGGCAUGGGCCAUAGUUCAAUACACAGCUUCUGUACUUGAUCGAGCAACGACCGUUUGGUUUUUGUUUUUCCAUGAGAUAGAAUUCCCCUAAUAAAAACACAAUAACCCAAUGUGGAUCGUCUAUCACUUGCAUCUCCUACCCAAUCAGUAUCUGAAUAUCCAAUUAUAUCAUUGUUGCCUCUAUCACAACAAACAAGCCCUUUUCCAGGUGAUCCUUUGAUAUACUUAAGGAUUCGAAUAAUUGUUUCCCAAUGGUUGUCACAAGGAAAAUUUAAGAAUUAACUUAUUACACUGGCCGAAAAAGAUAUAUCAGGUCUAGUCAAGGUAAGAUAAUUCAACUUACCUAUAAGUCUUCGAUAUCUUCCUGGAUCAGUAUAUGGCUCCUCCUGAUUAGGGAGAAGCUUUAGAUUAGGAUCCAUAGGAGUGUCAACUAGUUUGCAAUCUAUAAGACAUGUUUCUUCCAAAAUAUCAAGAUCAUACUUCCUUUGAGAGAUAACAAUAACUGACUUUGACUGAGCUACCUCAAUUUCUAGAAAGUAACGAAGAGGACCCAAAUCCUUAGUCUGAAAAUUCUGAAAUAAGUGUUGUUUUAAAGCCUUGAUACCCUUAAAAUCAUCACCUAUAAUUACAAUGUCGUCAACAUAAACCACUAGAUAAAUAUAUUUAUUGGAAGAGCAUUUGGUAAAAACAGAGUGAUCUGAUUCACACUGGUUCAUCCUAAAUUGUUGCAACACUUUACUAAAUCUUCCAAACCAUGCCUGAGGUGAUUGUUUCAAGCCAUACAAAAACUUGUGUAAUUUACAUACCCGAUUACACUCCCCCUGAGCAACAAACCCGAGAGGUUGCUUCAUGUAAAUCUCCUCUUCCAAGUCACAAUGCAAAAAUGCAUUAUUGAUAUCCAAUUGAAAUAGAGGCCAUUGUUUCAUGGAAGACAUGGCUAGAAAGAAGCGAACAUAUGCCAUCUUCGUAACAAGGGAGAAAGUAUCACUAUAAUCUUGAUCGGGGACUUGAGCGUAUCCUUUUUCCACUAAGCGAGCUUCAAAACGAUCUACCUGUCCAUCAGGACCAUCCUUAACAUUACAUAUCCACCUACAUCCAACAACAAAUUUUCCAGGUGGGAGAGGAACAAGCUCCCAAGUAUGAUUAGAUUCUAAAGCUGACAUUUCAUCAAAUAUUGCAUGUCUCCACCCUAGAUGGGAUAAAGCUUCAUGAAUAGUUUUAGGAAUAGAUGCAAGUACAGUAACAAACUCACAAUAGGUGGGAGAUAACCGAUGAUAAUACACACAAUUAUAAAUAGGAUAAGGAUUACGGGUUUAACGGUUACCUUUACGUAUGGCAAUAGGCAUGUCAGGAGACGGGGCCGAAGCAGGGGUGGAGGCGCUUGGAAUAAGAGUUGAAUCAUAUGAUCUCAACCUUCUCUCAUAAAUAAUGGCAUGCCGGUUCAAAAAAGGUGGAGACUCGUCUAUCACAAUGGAUGGACUAGAAGAUAAGUGAUUAGACUCAACCGACUCAAAAUAAGGAAUGUGCAAAACUUGAUCUAAAUUAGUUUCAGGGACACCUUAGUUGAAAAAGUAUGGUAUGUCCUCAAAGAAUGUAACAUCUGCAGACGUGUAUAAACGAUGUGUAGAAUGAGAGUAACAACGAUAUCCCUUUUGGACACGGGAGUAGCCCAGAAAAACACAUUUAAUGCCACGAGCAGACAUUUUAUCAUGACCUGGGGAAAAUCAUGAAAAAAAUAAGUACAUCCAAAGACACGAGAGGAAACACCAUAUAAGGGAUCUGUAGGACGCACCAGGGAAUGAGGAACCUGAUCAUUCAACAAAGAGGAUGGCAUUCAGUUAAUUAAAUACCCGGCAGUAAGAAUAACAUCACCCAAAAACUUUAGAGGUAAAUUGGCAUUUGGCAAAAGGGUACAAGCAGUGUCAACAAUAUGUUUAUGUUUUCUUUCAGCAACACCAUUUUGUUGAGGCAUAUGGGGACAAAUCGAUUGAUGUAUGAUGCAUUUGGAAUGCAUGAAAGAGUUGAAAUGAUCAGUAAAAUAUUAUUUUGCAUUGUCAUUGCGUAAAAUGCGAAUUGUUUUACCAAACUAUGUCGAGAUUUCAGAACAGAAAUUCUUAAAAAUAUUAAACAACUCAGAACGAUCUUUCAUUAAAAACAUCCAAGUACAUAUUGAGAAAAUCAUCAAUAAAAGUAACAUAACACCUAUACAUUGGGAUAGAAGGAAUCUGACUAGGACUCCACACAUCGAAAUGAACGACAUCAAAAAGAGACAAAGAUUUGUUAUUAAUGCAUUGGGAAAAAGAACUCUAACAAUUUUUCCUAACUGACACGACUCGCAUUGUAAGGACUCUAAAUGAGGAAGAGUUGACACCAUUUUCUUCAAUUUUGAUAAACUCAGAUGACCUAAGCGACGAUGCAGAAGAUCAGGAGAUUAAGUAGUAGCACAUAUAGCGGAAAUGGGUGGUUGAAGAUAAUAAAGACCACUAGAUUCAAUUCUGACUCCAAUGGUUUGUCUCGUACUCAAGUUUUGUAUCAAAAAGGAAUCAGAAGUAAAUGUUAUGAUACAGUUUAAAGAGUUAGUUAAUUUUCUUAUACAAAUCAAAUUGAAAGGGAAUUUAGGAAUCAAUAAAACAUAUCUCAAAGAGAGUGAGGGAAUAUGUGAUACUCGUCCAACACCAAUUGCCUCAACUUUAGAUCCAUCCACAACAGUAAUAUAGUAUGGAUAUUUAGGUGGUGAUAAUUCAAGGAAAAGUGAGGCAUUACCGGUCACAUGGUCUUAAGCAAUGGAAUCUAUAACCCAUCCAAUUGAAGUAGCAUAAGAAAUACAAACCACAAAAUUACUUGUACGAACAAUAGUAGCCAAGGAGAUGGCUUGUUGUGCUGCCUUCAAUCGCAAAUACUCCUUAUACUUAUCGGUAGAGAAAGUAGUUUUGAGUUCAUCCUUUGAUUCAUGGUUUGUAGUGGUUUGAGCAACAUUAGCAGUCUUGUUCAGGUAGCCAUGUAAUUCAAAGCAUCGAUCUUGAGUCUUCCCAUCUUUCCUACAAUAAAUGCAAUAGAAGUUACUUCUACCUCCUCUACCACGUCCUCGGCCACGGCCACGUCCUCCAUUACUAAACCCAGAAACAAGAGCAGAGGACCUAGGAGUAGUAUGAGUAUCAUCACUUGAUAGAGAUACUUAGACGAGAGGAUCAAUUAGUUCUUCUACCGUAGGGAUGGUAAUAUUUGUUAAAGUCUGGUCUUUAACCGAACUAUAUUCUUUACAGAGGCCAUGGAGGACAAACACCAUGAACAUAUUGUCAAGCUUGCCCAAUAUCUUCGUAAUAUCAUCACUAAACAGCAUAAGUUUGAGGCCAUCAGUAGUAGAUUGAGCAUGGGUGAGAUAUUCUGACAAGUCUUGAUCAUUCAUUUGAAAAGUAGCCAAAUUGCGGACCCAUGCAUACAUUCUUUGAAUAUCGUUAUCAUAAAGGUUUUUAGCCAUCUAGCAAACCUCAUAACAUGAUAUAUACGCACGAAAGUGUGCCAUCAGAUUUGGUUCAAUAGAAUUCCACAACAAUGAUACAAGUUGACAACUAGCGACUUCACAAUCAUCUUUUAUCUCUUUAUCAAUUUCAUAAACCUCUUUAGUAAGAUGGUCUGACAGACGUUGUCCUAAAAACCAUAACUCAACUGAAGCAUAAAAAUUCAAAUAGUUCUUAUAACCAUUUAAUUUAGCCAUGGUAAUAACGGGUGUUCCUUAAAAUGCAAACGAAAUAAGACUCUUUUGGGGAGGAUUCUUCUCAACAACGCCAUUCUUUGGGCUUGGAAUUUCAGUCAUGAUUUCAACACCACCAACUAAAGAACUCUAGAUCGGAGAAGCAACACAUAAGAAAAAAUAGGGUUGUGAACCAAGAAAAAGCUAGGGUUUUGAACCAAGAAAAAAUAGGGUUUUGAAUCAAGCUCUAGAUACCAUCUUGAAUCUGAAUUUCUUGUAUUAUUAUAUGGAGAAUAUAUAUAUAUAUAUAUAUAUAAGUCUCAUAAUCAACCCUACUAAUUAAGGAAAGAUUUAAUACAAUAAUAUCCUCAAAUUCAGAAAAAGGCAGUCGCAAACCUACCCUAGUGAACACACACUCAUAGAAGGGAACCAAACAACCGUUGAAGGAAUUACAUGUCUUUUUUCUAAAUCCAUGGGAAGGACCGGUCAAUCUGACGGAUCACUGACUACGAUGUCGGCCGCAUCUAUGGCUGCUUUGGUAUUUAAAAUAGACGGGGUCCAUACCACUUGUGCAGCAACCAGUCUAUAGUUACUCGCGUCGUUCGGCUCCAUCCAUUCCACCCAUUUCAGUGAUAGCUUAUCAACUUUAAAAUUCUUCCUAUAACGCCUCAUACUCUUUUCAGGAUUAUCGACUGACCGCACAAAUCAACACGAGUCUUUUUAUCAUGAUUUGUCCUCACUCGCACGCUUUCUGAGAAACUUCCCAAAAGGUCACACAUCCAAAUACUACCCCGACUCAAGCACGUUUAACUAUGGAAUUCUUUAUUGUUAGCCUACCGAAAAAGAAGAUGCAUCUUGUUGGUAUAGUUAGUACCAAUCAAUCCUUAUAAGUCUUCAUUCAACCAUGUAGUCCCAUACCUGCAUAGCCUCAGGAUCCCUCUCAUUCUUAUGUGAAUUCGGUUUUUGCCUUGAAGUUUCCAUGAGUUGCUAAUUGUCAUGCUUUGUGCAUCGGCGACCACUCCCCUCCCUCGUCGACCUUGGGUGUUACAUGUCCACCAGCUUUUGCUUGGUUCAUCCUGAAACCACAUCAUGCUGAGAGAGGUCUGCAAUGAUAUCAUUUUUAAUGCUCCAUAUUACUUUUAGGAUUACCGAUUGACUCCACAAACAACACGGAUCUUUUCAGCAUGUUUUGUCCUCACUCACACGCUUUCUGAGAAACUUCUCAGAAUGUCACCCAUCCAAAUACGACUCCAAUUCAAAUACGUUUUACUAUGGAGUUCUUAUUUGUUAAGAUACCAAAAAGAAGAUGCAUUUUGUUGGUAUAUGUAGUACCAAUCAAUCCUUAUAAUCCUUCUUUCAACCAUGCAGUCACAUACUCGCACAUCCUCAGUAUCCCUCUUAUUCUGAUGUUAAUUCGGUUUUUGCCUAGAAGUUGUCAGGAGCCUGACAUUGUCAUGACUUGUGCACCGGAGACCAUUCUCUAUCCUCUUCGACCUCAAGUGUUAUGCUCUCCAUGCUUGAGCCAAGAAACUACAUCUGAUUUAACCUUCUGCUCCAUAUGGGUCUUGAUUUCAACAUCAUUGGGGUUGUGAUUGUAAAUUCUCUGGUAAACUUGAAUGAAAUCCCCAAUGUGUUCUCUCCUCAACUUAGCGGCGUGCAUUUACGAAGUAGACAAAACGGGAGGGGCAUAGGAACAUUUGUAUGACCAUCUUCAAUGUCAUCAUUUGACAAGAGGGCAUCGAAAGAAGAGUCCAUAGAGGAAGCCCUAGAUAGCCUUUCUGAAUCAGAAUCAUCGAUUAAGGAUAUAACUUAAUGGCCUAAGAAAUCAUAGACAAGGGGAGAUGGGAUUGAAACAGGAGAUACUCUCGUUCUUGCAACAGAAGAAACACCACUCUUAGAAUCCCUGGCUAUGCGAAUAGGACUAUUACUUAUUUUGAUCAAAAUGCAGAAAUAUAGAAGGUAAAAGCUUGGAGCCAAAAGGGUACCUGGUAAGAAGAAAUUGACGAAAAGUAAGUGUGUUAAGGAGAAAUAGAAGCUUGAACAAAGAGUUGCAACUACUCUAUCAAAUUCUCGCAUGAAGGUAGGAAGAGAAAUGCUUGGGAAUUGAAACUAAAUUUCAAGGAUGGAGGAAAGUUCCAUUUGCACUCAACAACCCAUAUAUAUAGGUGAAUGAGAACAACGACCCUGAUCAACUGCAAAAAGAAGUUACAAAAUCAACUGAUGGAUUUCCCAUUGGAAACGUAAAUAAACUUGAGUGCACUAUAAGCAGCAGCAUCGCCUAACUAGUCCUUUCAAGUCACGUGUUAAAGAGAAGCAGUGAAACGCUUCAAUGAUGGAAUUGCAUUUAAUUUGUUUGUUCCUCACUACACUUUCAACUGACUUUAAGUGUUUCCAUUUCUAAGUUUAAAGCAAACAACAUUCUCAGAGGUUGACCACGAUCGCUAAAGACUUCCUCGUCUUCGUAACGUCUGGCAAGGGGGCAAUUGUUCUGAGCAGCCAAAUGCCCAAAAAGGUAAGGCUCAGCUAAUUGUCAAUUCACUCCAAUUAACUCACAGUAUAAAAGUCAUCUCACGUGAAAUGUAAGAUACAUUAUCUAAUCUCUGUUUUCCAUUACACUCGUCUGAAUUUUGAAUUAGCUUAGAUGUUAAAGUGUUAAGCAUGCAUGUCCACUUUGUGUCGCCAUAUCAGAGAUUAGAUCCAUCAAUUCAAGAUUUCUCAUCACCAGCUUACACAAAACUCUAAUUCUCAGACAUACUAAAACGGUUUGCAAAAUUAUAAAUUAAUCAAAAGUAUAAAAUAUAUAAUAUUAAUAAUAAAAAACCAAAAUUUUAGACAUAUUAACUUAUUAAAUACUUUCUCUAUCUUAUAAUAAGUGUCGCAUUUUAUAAAACUAUUUGUUUCAAAAUAAGUAUAGCUUUUAAUUGUUUCCAAUGUAAUUAUAAUUUUCAUCUUUCAAUUAUACCCUCUAAUUAAUAUUCUCAAUUUAUUAUUCUAUCACUCUUCAUUUAUGAUAAUUCGAAUACACCAAUAGUAAACAAGAAUAGUGUGAUAAAAAUAAUAUUUUCUCUAUUUCAUUUAUUAUAUUUUUUUAAUCGAUAUAAAAUAAUCAAUUUUGACAAUUAUUUUGGGAGAGAUGAAAUAUAUUGAUUUGAUAGUUCUUACAACUAUUUUAAAGUCCUAUACCUGAUAUCUUUAAGGGAGAAACACCUAUAUUCAAAUGAGUUAUAUGACUAACAUUCAAAGUUCAAAUAACCCUUACAAAAUAACAGUGUAGUGGUUGACCAUUUUAACAAGCACAAUUAUAACGAUGCUUAAUAAAAUAGAUGAAUGCGUAUUAAAUAGACGAAUGUAAAAGUGCACUAGAGACAUAAAUUUGGCCAAUUUAUUGGAUUGAAUUGUGUAUUCCUUUUUAUUCAAAAUUAAUUAAUUAAUUAUAUUUAUAACAUUUCAAUAUUUUUUUAUACAAUAUAUAUAUUUAUCUAAUCAUUUAUAAAAUAACUCAUAAAAAUAUGGUAAUAAUUUAAUAUGAAUAUUUUAAUAAAUAAUAUUUUAAUUAUAAAAGAGUAAAAUAAGUAAGUGAAAAUGUAUUCUAAAUUAGUCUGCCUUUAGUUGGCCUUUAGUGGGCUGCUGGACAAUUCGAAACUCGAAAGAGUGCUCAGAGCGGUAACAUAAUCUAAAGAACAUGUCUUCUAUUUGAAAAUCAAACUAACCUUCCUCAAAGAACAUAAAUAAGUGGAAAGUAAAAUACCAAAAAUCUACAUCUAUAUAGAAUUUGAAAAACAACUAAUUUGUGCUUACAGUACCAUUUCCAAGUUCCCCUUUAUUUUGCAACCCUUAACGCCUAACUCUUUGUGAUGCCAUGAAAUAUAAGCUAAUACUGUUUUAACAAUUAAUUAAUUGAGAUUACUGUUUUUUAAUCAUAAACGAUAACAAAUCAAAGAUAUAUUUAGCAGAAAAACAGAAUAUCCAUCAUUAAGUUCAUAUGAUAGAAGAACAUAACAAAUUGCCUCAGUUCAGCUUAAAUAGAUAAAAUACAUCUACACCCAACUAACACUAACGAAACCCUAAAUUGGAUCAUAAAAUCAACCACCGAAACCGUACAGAGUCCUUCCCUGCCUCUUCAGAGCAUAAACAACAUCCAUGGCAGUGACAGUUUUCCUCCUAGCGUGCUCAGUGUAAGUAACGGCAUCACGAAUAACGUUCUCGAGAAAGAUCUUGAGAACACCACGAGUUUCUUCAUAGAUGAGUCCACUGAUUCUCUUGACACCACCUCUUCUCGCCAAACGGCGAAUUGCAGGCUUGGUAAUUCCCUGGAUGUUAUCACGAAGCACUUUUCUGUGCCUCUUUGCUCCUCCCUUUCCCAAACCCUUUCCACCUUUACCGCGACCUGACAUUUUUCUCUUCUUAUAAUUAUCAACUGUGAAAUUUUGAAAAGGAAGAUUGAAAUGUGAAUGAAUGAAUGAUAUUACUCAGGUCGUGUUUAUAUAGGAAGAUCUGAAGAUUAAUGGAAGUGCGGAGAGGAGUUAUAGCCGUUGAUUAUAACCUAAUCGACGGAUGAUGAUAGCGAUCCGUGUCAUCCUCUUUAGAUUGUUUUAUGCUGAUUGCUUAUAAGUGGGCCAUUGUUUGUCACAUCUAGUUAUAUUUAUGAAAAUUCAAUUCAAUUCAAUUUGAUCGUUGAAACUUAAUAGAUUUAAAUUGUUCAUAUGUUUGGAAUUCAAUUGUUUAGGCCAUCAUUGGACGGGUUUUAGUUUUUUAUUUUAUUUUUAUAACUAGUUGUUUGGGCCAAUCUUUUAAUUUGGCAUGAUAAACUUUCAUCAAAUUUUUAAAAUAACAAUAUUGAAUCCGUUCUUGAGUUUUAACCCAAUAAAUUAUUCUUAUUUUCAUAUUUAUAGAAAAUAAAAUAGGUGUCUUUCUACUAUACAGUAGUAGGGUUGAAAACGGUCUAUUAGAAUAAUCCAUGGACAUGGGUUUCUUCAAAUCAAAUUGGUUUCUGUUCCACGAGAGAAUGACCAUAUGAAUCCAAAAGAUGAAGGAAGAUGUUUAUGAUAAGAAAGACAUCAGAUUGAUGAUGUCUUGAAUCUGCAAACAAGCGGAAGGUUCUAGGACUUGAGGUGCAAACAUAGACUCGUCCUAUAAAUCAUCUUAUUUGAGUAUAAAGUGAAGGUAUGACGGUUGGAUAACAUGACGAAUUAAACAUUGACAUUUGUUAUCAUAAUUGGUCUUGAUUAAACCUAAAAAUUGCACACUAAUAAGAACUCUAUAAUAGGAAUGACAUGUGUAAUAACAAGGGGCGCAUUCUUGAAAACCUAUAAAUAUUUUACCAUCUACCUUGAUAAUUCAUUAACUUGAGCGUCGAGAGUUUUUGCAUAUAUCAUCUCAUAACACACUCAUAAACCGAGGAAGAACUCGCUAGACCGAUGAAUCAUUGAGCGUUAUCAUCUUACCGAGUCUCUAACUCAUUAUUGGAAUAUUUUGAAUUGGAUCAAAUCAACGGUGUCGUAUGUGAGUAAUGUUGUAUAAGUCAUUCUCUUUUAUUCAAGACAAGAUGACAUUUUCUUGAAAUAUAAAUGAAUCUAGGGGUGGACAGCGGACUGAUUGGAUGGGUUUGAGUCCAAAAGCGCCACCCAACUCAAUCCACUGGAUCAAUUUUCGUCCAUUUUCGUCUAAAAUAUAUGACUUUUCUAUUAGAUUAAUUAUUUAAUAAUCAAAUAUGGAUUGAUAUAAUUAAUUAUUAAUAAAUUAGUUUAGGGUCAAUUCUUAUAAAAUACUAAUUAUUGAUGAAUUACUUAAUUGUGUUUUGUGUCUGAAUUGACUGUGAUAUGUUGGAUCAUUCAAUUAAGUCCAAUGAGAGUUAUUUGCCCUCAGUCGUUUAGUUAUUUAAGCGUUGCCCCAUUAGACGAUUAACACACAGUGAAAACCUUAAACGACAAUGAGGGUAGUAAUCCUCUCAUAUUCACUCUUCCCGACUAUAACUCUCUCAUUUCGUGGUCUGCAUUCCUUGACUUCGAUAGCCGCCAUUUUGGUCAUAUAGUUUAUAAAAACGUCAAGGAUGAUUUAUCCAAGUUGUCCAAAAUCGGCUUUGUCACUGACUUUCAAGCUCAGUUUGAGGAUCUAUUGAACAAGGAAACCACUAUAUCUUAGCCUUUGUUGGUUAGUUUCUUCAUUACAAGUCUUUAAAAGGUAAGUUUCAACCAUUAAACUACUUGACAAAAAAAAUCCUUUUAUGUAGUUUAAUAAUUAAUUACUGUAUUUCAUUGAUGAAUUUGUGCUCGAACUAUUCACAAGAAAUAUCAUGAAUCUUAUAAUAAAAUUACAAGGUUAAAAAAAUAAAUAAGUUUUAAAAUGUUUUUACUCCUUUAGUGAACCAUAAUAGUAAAAAAAAUAUUAUCUCCUUAUCUUGUACAUUUCAAAACAAAAAUAAAGAUAAUUAAAAUCAAUUUCCUCCCUUCCCCCCACCUUUUUUCCCUUGAACAAAAAUAUAUCUCCCUUUUUCUUAGUUAAACCAUGUUGAUGCAAAAGAGGAAGAAGAUGAAAAUGAUGAAGAUGAGAGAGAGAGAAGAGAUUGAGAGAAACGUUUUUAACUAACUUCUAAUAGAAAAUUGAAAUUAUGUUAUGGAUCAAUUCUCUAUUACAAACUAAAACAACACUUGGUUUAUAUACUAAUCAAAACAAAUACAAAUUAAAACGCAAGUUAAAUUAAACUUAAGUGUAAAUUGAAAUGAAUUACAUCUAACAUCAUCCCUUAAUUCAUAUUUAGUUCAUCAAAAUCAACAACACAAAUAUCAUUCCUCAAAUGAAUAAACUGUUCAGUCUUGAUAGCUUUAGUAAGUACAUUUGUCAACUAUUUUUAAGUGCUACAGUGGACAACUUCAAGCACC
rnacentral:lncRNA from 1 species